rnacentral:tRNA from 1 species
UCCCUGGUGGCUUAGAUGGUAAAGCAUCCACCUGCAAUGCAGGAGACCUGGGUUCGAUUCCUGGGUCGGGAA